UAGCUAAAACCAAACUAGAGGUACACUACUGUUAAUAGUGAAAAUGAAUUUAUUCUAGCUAC
rnacentral:tRNA from 1 species